UGGACAACUCCAGAGGAUAAAAUACUUAAUCUAUCUGUUUAUUUUUGUUUCAACUUUCUUUUUUCAGAUUUAGGAUCAAGUGAUGAAACUCUUUAAUGGAAGCAAAUUAGUGAACUUGAGAAUCUAUUACAUUUAAAGGUAUUCGCCUGCAGUAGCGACUCUGAGAUAUGAUGGCAGAGUAUACUGCAACAUCAACUCCGAAGCUCAAGAUUUAUAGACAUGUGGAAAUUCCGCACACAUUAUUAGAAGAUAUAGCUAUGGAGUUAAAGACUUUAAGAGAGAAGGAGAACAUGAUAAAUUCUGAGAAAUAUGAAAAUUUUUACUUGUGGAUGGCUGCCUAUAGUUCUCAGCCAAAGGGUCUGCUAGCUCUUUUUCUACCAUGGUUAUGGUAUGGAGUGCACUAUCUUCCUAAAAGGUCAGUAUUACAAGUCAUAAGUUGUGGUUAUGGUAUGUUUAGCUGACAUGAGGGUGAAUGUAAGUGCAGAUGCCGAGAUUAGGCUUGUGAAAGGAGGAUAUGCGAAUCAUGGUAUCGAAUAUAAAAGUCAUAUGGAAAGCUAUUUAUAAGUAUCUCGAGAAUGUUUAUUAGAAUUUGGCAUCUAGUCAUGGUACUUUGUUGACUCGGUAAUUUAAAAAUAUAAAGAAUGAAGGGAAGCUUGUCAUAAAUAACAUUCACAUGUGC